GCCUGGAUAUCUCCUUCGGUGGCCUGCAGAGCUCUGAGCAUCAGUUCCUCAUCCUGGAUGCCCAUAUCUCUGAGCUGUUGCAUCUGCGAUUGCCAGCGGCCCUGCAGGGCAGACAUGUUGGUGGCUUGGAGGGCUUGUUGCAGCGCCUGGCUGAACAGGUCGUUGCUGACGGGGGUCCCUGCCGGCAUGGGUGGGCCACUGCUCGACGACUCGGCCUAUAGCCAAAUCAUAAUAAUUUCAUACCAUAAUAUAGCAAUCUCGUUAAAAAAAAGAAAAGCAUUCACAGAAUGAGAAAAAUAUUGCCACGCAAUAGCAUACCAUGGAUGCUGUUGUAUAUGCAUUCAAUAUUAUGUCUUAUGUUUUCUGUACAAUAGCACUGGUGUGAAUGCUGAUCGCUCAGCAUUCACAUUCAUUUUCUGAUCCUCAGUAUCAUUAGUGUUAAUGAGGGUCAUUCUGCAUUUAAUCAGUUUUUGAUGCAUAAUAUCACUAGUAUAAAUGUUGGUCUCUCAUCAUU